AUUGAACGCUGGCGGCAGGCUUAACACAUGCAAGUCGAACGAGUGGCGGACGGGUGAGUAAUGCCUGGGAAUCUGGCCUAUGGAGGGGGAUAACUACGGGAAACUGUCGCUAAUACCGCGUACCAUCGGAUGUGCCCAGGUGGGAUUAGGUAGUUGGUGGGGUAAUGGCCUACCAAGCCGACGAUCCCUAGCUGGUCUGAGAGGAUGACCAGCCACACCGGAACUGAGACACGGCCCAGACUCCUACGGGAGGCAGCAGUGGGGAAUAUUGCACAAUGGGGGCAAGCCUGAUGCAGCCAUGCCGCGUGUAUGAAGAAGGCCUUCGGGUUGUAAAGUACUUUCAGUGAGGAGGCGUUAAUCGCAGAAGAAGCACCGGCUAACUCCGUGCCAGCAGCCGCGGUAAUAC
rnacentral:rRNA from 1 species